AUUUGCACAUAUUAUCUUUAAACCAAUCACGAACAUUUGUUAUAAAUAAAUCAAAAUCCCAUAUAAUGCAGAUUUAAUUCAUAUUAAUUUGCACAAAUGUAUUCCUAAUAGAGACAUUGCAGUGAUUUAAUUUGCUCUAAAAUGACUUUACAGUUAUUUUGCACCGACAUAAGAAAUUUUAAACGUAUAAUAUGUGCCACUGCAUAAUUAGUCCAUUUAUUCUGAAAAGAGAAAAUAGAGUCAUGAAGCAAAACAAGAAGACAGGACAUGAAAAUCGCAAUCUGCAUAAAUGACUGAAUUCAUUCUCUUUUUAUAAGCUAUUCACUUUUCAUCCUUUCUCAAUAGUUGAACCAAUUUCAUUCUCUCUCUCUUAUUAUUGAGCCCAUUUCAUUGCUCUCUGUCAAUUUCAUUUCUCUUGAAGAGUGAAUCUAUAAACAAGCACCACAAAAAUCUAGUAUGUUUAAGAAGAUAAAAUCGUCCAAAUUCAAAGAGCUCUUCAUAUGGAUCCUUAAAAUUUACAUGCAAAUUUCUAUUUAUAAUGCUAAGAGUUUUUUUUAAAAAAUCUUAUUGUUAAGAAUGGAGAAAAAAUGAAAAAUCAUUUAUUGCAUUUUGAUCAAUUAAAAGUCAACAUUUAAUCAGUAUUCUCUUCCUCUCUCUUAAGCAUUUCAUCAAACAUUUAUCUAGUUCCAUUCACCUUUUCGAAGCAACAUUUUGAUCAUAAUAUGUAAGGAAAAUAAGCUCAAUCUAAAACUCAAAUUACAAAAAAUCUGAAGUUCAAACAUAUAUAGGUAAACACCUGUCAAAGGAUUUUUGCCAAAGAAUAUGAGCCAAUAAUAUGCAACCAAAUUAAAAACAUAAUCGAGCAGAAUGUCAAGAUAUGUCAUAUCGAAAAUUUAAAAUAAUUAAUAGAAACUUUAAAUUCAUCCCAGAAAUGCUAUGAAAUGGAUACGUCAAAAGAAAGUCAAAAUCCUAACAAAAGCACCAUUUUAUUUGAUUUUUCUUCAAUCUUGUUCUUUUACAUUUCAUAGUUGGAAUAUGGGACAAUGCGAAGGACAGAAAUUUCUUGACCCUUUUUUCUAUUAGGUUCUUAGCUAGCUUCUUGUUGCCCUUAACAUAAUAAUAUUGUAUUCUUGGAUUGAUUAAGAAAAUUUGAAAUAACAUAUAUAAAGAGAUAGGAAGAGAAGAGUUGAACUGAUGAAGAGAGGGGGGGAUUUCGGAGAUUGAUUUGUAGUGAUGAAAAAAUGAUAAUAAUAAAAAAAAUGUCAAUGCUUCGCACAAUCCGGAGAGUUCACUAAAGUAAACUAUCGGCACAUUUCGAAGGGUCGAAAGUAACCCUCCGAGAGUUGGAGACUUGGACUCUCCGAAGUCCGAACUAUGCAAAUGAUUUUUUUUAAUUCUCUAAGGAAAAAUACGCUAUUAUUAAUUUAUAUUUUCUAUCACCAGAAGGUAUUCAUGAACAACUUAAUUUAAAAACUUCAUAGAAUUAGGAAAUCAAAGAGGAAAUUAACUUCUAGGAUUCAACAAAUUUGAUAAUCACUUAAUAGAUUCUACCAGAAAUUUCAUAUUUCUACUUUUUUCUUUUUAAAAAAAAGAAGCUAAAAUAAAAAAAAAAUUGCUAAAAGUAAAUAUAAAAAAGAAAAAAAAAUCUUUCGCACAGUUCGAAAAGUUCAAGUGAACUCUCUACACAAUUUGGAGAUUUCACAUGUACUCUCCGCAUUGUGCGGAGGGUUGCUUCCAACCCUCCGCACAGAGUGGAGAGUUCAAAGAGUUCACUUGAACUCUCCGCACAUUUCGAAGAGUUCACGUGAACUCUUCGACUAUGCGGAGGGUUCAAGUGAACUCUCCGCAUUGUGUGCGGAUGAGUUUUUUUAUAUUUAAUUUUCUAUGGUUUUCUAACUUACAGAGGAAAAUACAUUAUUAUUAAUCUAUAUUUUCUAUUCUCAAAAGGUAUUCGUAAACAACUUAAUUUAAAAACUUCAUAGAAUUAGGAAAUCAAAGAGGAAUCUAACUUUUAGGAUUCAAGAAAUUUGUCUACUUAAAAAAAAAACAAAAAUAAAAAAAAUUGCUAAAAGUAAUAAAAAAAAAAAAAAAAAAAAACUCCCCUGCAUAGUUCGAAGAGCUCACUUGACCCUUCUAUGAACUCUCCACACAGUGCAAAGAAUUCACUUGAACCCUCCGCAUUAUGUGGAGGAGUGUUUUUUUUUUUU
rnacentral:lncRNA from 1 species